GACGAACGCUGGCGGCGUGCUUAACACAUGCAAGUCGAACGGAAAGGCCUGCUUUCCCUUGUGGAUUGCGGGUACUCGAGUGGCGAACGGGUGAGUAACACGUGAGUGAUCUGCCCCCAACUUGGGUAUAAGCCUGGGAAACUGGGUCUAAUUCCCGAUAGGACUGCAGGGUGGUGCCUGUGGUGGAAAACGAUUUUCUAGUGGUUGGGGAUGAGCUCGCGGCCUAUCAGCUUGUUGGUGGGGUAAUGGCCUACCAAGGCGGCGACGGGUAGCCGGCCUGAGAGGGUGGACGGCCACAUUGGGACUGGGAUACGGCCCAGACUCCUACGGGAGGCAGCAGUGGGGAGUAUUGCACAAUGGGCGGAAGCCUGAUGCAGCGACGCCGCGGGGGGGAUGACGGCCUUCGGGUUGUAAACUCCUUUCGACCGCGAGGAAGCCACCUGGUUGGAAGGGUGGUGACGGUAGUGGUAGAAGAAGCACCGGCUAACUACGUG
rnacentral:rRNA from 1 species